rnacentral:rRNA from 1 species
UAAAAAGCAUUUCAUAGCAAGGGCCGGGCAAGACCGGUGCCAGCCGCCGCGGUAACACCGGCGGCUCGAGUGGUAACCGUUAUUAUUGGGUCUAAAGGGUCUGUAGCCGGCCGGAUAAGUCUCUUGAGAAAUCUGGCAGCUUAACUGUCAGGCUUUCAGGAGAUACUGUCUGGCUCGAGGCCGGGAGAGGUGAGAGGUACUUCAGGGGUAGGGGUGAAAUCUUGUAAUCCUUGAAGGACCACCAGUGGCGAAGGCGUCUCACCANAACGGACCUGACGGCAAGGGACGAAAGCUAGGGGCACGAACCGGAUUAGAUACCCGGGUAGUCCUAGCCGUAAACGAUACUCGNUAGGUGUCGGCCACGGUGCNACCGUUGUCGGUGCCGUAGGGAAGCCGUGAAGCGAGCCACCUGGGAAGUACGGCCGCAAGGCUGAAACUUAAAGGAAUUGGCGGGGGAGCACCACAACGNGUGGAGCUUGCGGUUUAAUUGGAUUC